UACGUAGGGUGCAAGCGUUAUCCGGAAUUAUUGGGCGUAAAGAGCUCGUAGGCGGUUUGUCACGUCUGCUGUGAAAAUCCGGGGCUCAACCCCGGACUUGCAGUGGGUACGGGCAGACUAGAGUGUGGUAGGGGAGACUGGAAUUCCUGGUGUAGCGGUGAAAUGCGCAGAUAUCAGGAGGAACACCGAUGGCGAAGGCAGGUCUCUGGGCCACUACUGACGCUGAGAAGCGAAAGCAUGGGGAGCGAACAGG
rnacentral:rRNA from 1 species